CCUACGGGGGGCAGCAGUGAGGAAUAUUGGUCAAUGGGCUUACGCCUGAACCAGCCAAGUCGCGUGAGGGAAGACUGCCCUAUGGGUUGUAAACCUCUUUUGCCAGGGAGCAACGCCGGCUACGUGUAGCCGGACUGAGAGUACCUGAAGAAAAAGCAUCGGCUAACUCCGUGCCAGCAGCCGCGGUAAUACGGAGGAUGCGAGCGUUAUCCGGAUUUAUUGGGUUAAAAGGGUGCGUAGGCGGAAUGCCAAGUCAGCGGGAAAAUCGCGGGGCUCAACCUCGCUCCGCCUUUGAAACUGGCGUUCUUGAGUGGGCGAGAAGUAUGCGGAAUGCGUGGUGUAGCGGUGAAAUGCAUAGAGAUCACGCAGAACUCCGAUUGCGAAGGCAGCAUACCGGCGCCCAACUGACGCUGAAGCACGAAAGCGUGGGUAUCGAACAGGAUUAGAUACCCCUGUAGUC
rnacentral:rRNA from 1 species